rnacentral:tRNA from 1 species
AGGCCUGUAGCUCAACUGGCAGAGCGGCGGUCUCCAAAACCGCAGGUUGGGGGUUCGAUUCCCUCCAGGCCUGCCA